rnacentral:miRNA from 1 species
CCUAGAACUCACUUUGUAGACCAGGAUGGCCGUGAACUCACAGAGAUCUUCCUGCCUUUGCCUCCUGAGUGCUGGCAU